rnacentral:tRNA from 1 species
GGGCAUGUAGCUCAAUGGUACAGUAUUUGCCUGGUGUGCACUAGGUACUGAGUUCAAGACCCAGCAUUGCCA